GGGCCAGUGGCGCAAUGGAUAACAUGUCUGAUUUCAGAUCAGAAGACUGCAGGUUCAACUCCUACCUGGCUCG
rnacentral:tRNA from 1 species